CGACGCAAGGACAUGAGAUGUUUAUCGCUAUGAAAUCACGUUCAAGAAGUCUCAUUCAGCACACAUCGCGAUACUUGCCAUCAGUUCCACAGUUUGGCUGAAAAGACGUAAAGGCAGUCAGCCCAGUGGUGUUUCUGGAGAGGUAUUCCUUUAGAAAUGGAGAAAACUGAAAUCUGCGGAGGCAGACAUUUGCAGCAGUAAGUCUGUCUACAAUAUCGAGCUCAACAGCUCUUUUAAGAGCCAACCCUCACAAACCUUCCUAAAAACUAAAAGAGCUAUUACUGAGUCUCAGCGAAUCUUGCCAUGAUCAGCUCUUCCCAGAAGAGAAGGAAGACCAAGGAAAUGAUUUGCUCAGGAUGAGGAAUGAAGAUGGCCAUCUUGUGCUCAAACAAACAGAAGUCCUCUGAUGAUCUCAUCAGCCAAAUGAGGGUUUUUUUUGACCAAGGACAGAAAGAAGAGGAUGGGGUAAAUUGUCUUCAAAGAAAAAGCUUCUCAAAAGGUCUUAAAACAGCUUGAAGAAUGGUCUGGGAUCUUAGGACUGAGAGAUCCUCUGGCUGAGAACAAGCUACACCACAUCAGUGCUGGAUAUCACACACAAACUGUUUCCAGACACGAGAGAAGAAGAUCACGAUGGGGAGAUGAAACCAGUUUAGAUGU